ACAAAUGCGCAGAUGGGAAAAAGUACCACACGAUCCCCACUGUUCAGAGAGCUGCCGUCUGGUGCAAGGCAGUCAGUGCUUCGUGCGGAAAAUCAUCCCGGAGCAGCCUGCCCAACGGGUGCAAAACCCUUGUAAGCAGCGCCGGUUGCAGCCGUUACCGUGCAGGGCUUUGUUGGAAGCCCGUGAGAGGGUGUGCACAGCACGCCAACGAGAGUGGUACCGCAGAGAGCUUGAUGAUCACAAGGUCUUUGUCUCUUGA
rfam:Faecalibacterium cf. prausnitzii KLE1255 F_prausnitziiKLE1255.K95-1.0_Cont285.2, whole genome shotgun sequence.